UACGUAGGGUGCGAGCGUUAAUCGGAAUUACUGGGCGUAAAGCGUGCGCAGGCGGUUCGGAAAGAAAGAUGUGAAAUCCCAGAGCUUAACUUUGGAACUGCAUUUUUAACUCCCGGGCUAGAGUGUGUCAGAGGGGGGUAGAAUUCCACGUGUAGCAGUGAAAUGCGUAGAGAUGUGGAGGAAUACCGAUGGCGAAGGCAGCCCCCUGGGACAACACUGACGCUCAGGCACGAAAGCGUGGGGAGCAAGCAGG
rnacentral:rRNA from 1 species